rnacentral:rRNA from 1 species
GACGAACGCUGGCGGCGUGGAUUAGGCAUGCAAGUCGAACGGUAUCAUCCUUUCGGGGGUGAGAGAGUGGCGAACUGGUGAGUAACACGUAGGUUAUCUACCCUCAAGACGGGGACAACCCAGGGAAACUUGGGCUAAUACCGGAUGUGAGCAACUUUUAGUUGUUUGAAAGGUGGCGUAAGCUGCCGUUUGGGGAUGAGCCUGCGCUCUAUUAGUUAGUUGGCGGGGUAAAGGCCCACCAAGGCGAUGAUAGAUAGGCGGCCUUAACGGGUGGUCGCCCACACUGGGAUUGAGAUACGGCCCAGACUCCUACGGGAGGCAGCAGUCGAGAAUAGUCUACAAUGGCCGAAAGGCUGAUAGUGCGACGCCGCGUGAACGAAGAAGCCCUUCGGGGUGUAAAGUUCUUUUAUAUGUGAGCAGUGCUUUCUAUGUGAACAGCAUGGGGAGAGAGAUAUUAGCAUAUGAAUAAGCAACGGCUAACUCCGUG